AUUGAACGCUGGCGGCAGGCCUAACACAUGCAAGUCGAGCGAGUGGCGGACGGGUGAGUAAUGUAUGGGGACUGCCCGAUAGAGGGGGAUAACUACUGGAAACGGUGGCUAAUACCGCAUACUAUCGGAUAACCCAUAUGGGAUUAGCUAGUAGGUGGGGUAAAGGCUCACCAAGGCGACGAUCUCUAGCUGGUCUGAGAGGAUGACCCACCACACUGGGGCAGCGACACGGCCCAGACUCCUACGGAGGCAGCAGUGGGGAAGAUGGCACAGUAGGCGCAAGCCUGAUGCAGCCAUGCCGCGUGUAUGAAGAAGGCCUUAGGGUUGUAGAGUACUUUCAGCGGGGAGGCGUUACCCGCAGAGGAAGCACCGGCUAACUACGUGCCAGCAGCCGCGGUAAUUC
rnacentral:rRNA from 1 species